GCACUUCCAUUUGGCAGUGCGUGCACCUAUAUUCCCCCUGCCAGUUCACUGGCUACGGCAAUAAAUUGCGAGCGCAAUAAACCAUUCGGACCCGGGGGCGGUACCCGGCGCCUCCACCAAAGCCCGUUGUACUCCAGCGGUCUUCGGGGGGGCGAAAUAGGAUCGACGAGGGCGUAAAGGCUUUGCUUUUGCUCGGCAUGGUACCACCGUUAUCGGACCAAAAUGAUAGUUGCAAAUGACAACUACGCUAUGGACAACGCUGUAGCUGCGUAAUGCGGUUCCGGUAGUCCACUAAGUCCUGUUGGUUAGCACCUUCAGGCGGGGUUCGGGGGCACCUGGCAACAGAAGCCUCCACU
rfam:Pseudovibrio sp. FO-BEG1, complete genome.